CCUACGGGAGGCAGCAGUGAGGAAUAUUGGUCAAUGGACGGAAGUCUGAACCAGCCAUGCCGCGUGCAGGAAGACGGCUCUAUGAGUUGUAAACUGCUUUUGUACAAGGGUAAACCUGAAUACGUGUAUUCAGCUGAAAGUACUGUACGAAUAAGGAUCGGCUAACUCCGUGCCAGCAGCCGCGGUAAUACGGAGGAUCCAAGCGUUAUCCGGAUUUAUUGGGUUUAAAGGGUGCGUAGGCGGAUUGAUAAGUUAGAGGUGAAAUGUCCGAGCUUAACUCGGGAACUGCCUCUAAUACUGUUGAUCUAGAGAGUAGAUGCGGUAUGCGGAAUGUAUGGUGUAGCGGUGAAAGGCUUAGAGAUCAUACAGAACACCGAUUGCGAAGGCAGCUUACCAAUCUAUAUCUGACGUUGAGGCACGAAAGCGUGGGGAGCAAACAGGAUUAGAUACCCGGGUAGUC
rnacentral:rRNA from 1 species